rnacentral:lncRNA from 1 species
AAUUCUCUCUCAGCUCACCCUAAUGAUAAUCGUUGUCACCAGCAGGAACCUCCCUUCCAUGGUACUUUCGUGCAUUCUCCGACCACCACCAGUCUCCUAUACCAUCUGGCUAUUUGAUUGCAGGAGUCCUUGAGAAGAUCUCAUAAAUAUCUAACUUGUUCUGGCUUGAAAGUUGUUUACUGGCCUGUCUCAGGCCACUUUUGUUUGUGAGUAUAAAUUUUCUCUUUUUUCUGAUACGAAUCCAUGGGUUUUCAGUCGAUUCCCUUUAUCUCUACUAUUUAUUGAAAAUCCUAGUUCCACUACUGUUUGAAUCUUCUCAAAUCUUUAUAGAUCUAAAGCGAUUCGAGUAUUAUUGGGUGUUUUCCUUUACAAAUUUCUUGGUUUAAUUCAUUUUUUCGACUUCGCUUACUCUUUCUGAAAUUAGGGUUCAUCCCAGUCUUUUCUUCAAAUAUUUUUCUAACUUCUCAAUGUUUUAAUUAAUUGUUUCUUCACUAUCUUGACUAUUUUUCGCAUGCAUGUUCAAACCCUAGAUGAUUCUUUUUGCUAUACUGAUUUCUCCAAUUUAGUUUAGAUAUUGUGUUUAUCUUCAUGAGCCAAUCGUAUUAACUUAUUCUAUUUAGAGACUUAAAUGAUUUCCCGUUAAAAUCAAUAUUUUCGAGAAUUUUUACUUGAUUGAUUUCUGUUAAGAAUCUGAACGAUCUUCUUUCUCGUUAAAAUCAUAAACCCUUUGGGAUUCUUAAUUGUUUGAUUUCUAUUUAAGGAUUCAAAUAAUACUUUUCUAUGAAAUCGCUACUCUUUGAAGAUUUUUACAGAUUUUUUCCUAUUAAUUGCCCUGUUAAAAUCAGUGUGCUCGGAUUUUACUGGCUUCCUUAUUUGUGACAUGCUUCCCUAUUUUUCUUACCCGCCUUAAUUAGUCGACAGUAGUUUGGGGGAUUUUUACUGACUCCCUCUAUGGUUUGAUUUUGAUUCAUUUCCUUAAUUGAAUAUCUUGUUAUGACCAUUAAUUGACUAUUCCCCAAUUAAAGGGGUGUUUCCCGAACUUCCUUAUAGAAAUUGAUUAUGUGAUUGGUUGAUUGAUCCUUAAUCGAUUGAAAUCUAAUUCUCUUUACCUUAUUUGUUCUACUCUCUAAGUGUUACGAAUACACUUUCAUUCUGCCUAUCAAACACAUGAACAAUAGUUCAAACAUAUGCGCACAGACACAAAUACACAAACCUUCUUUCAUACCUCUCUCUCUCUCUCUCUCUAUCUCUCUCUCUCUCUCUCUCUCUCUCUCUCUCUCUCUCUCUCUCUCUCUCCUACUUGUGUUCAUUUCUUGUUUAGCAGACUGAAAGCCAAGGGUAGACUGUUGAAUCCGGCCUACUUUACCUUAUGUAUCUGCUUCCUUAACUGGUAUAUUCCAACCUCAAUGUCAUUAUGAAGUCAAAAUCUAUGUGCUCCCUGUUGCUUCAUUUCUACUAAGGCUAUGUCUUUUAUGUACUAGUGUAAGUAUUGCCUAGUUAACCCUGUUUACUGCCUGAUCAGCAUGUCUAAGUUUCUCUCUUCUUGUUUAAUGUCAAAGUCAGCAUGUUUACUUUAGUUUAAGUACUUCCAUCUUUCAUGUUUACUUCCUCCAACCAACAGUCUUAUUUUGUGUCUCAGACUCUCAUGUUAUCUAGUUAAAUUCAAUUGGCAUAAAUAAUUCUGUGUAAUUGUCACGACCCCAGUUUGCCCUUAAUGAAUUAUCGUGAUGGUACCUAGUCUCUAAUACUAAGUAAGCCCAACAAUGCACAAAAUAAAUAAAACUUGCGGAAGAAAUAAUUAAAAACCAACUAACAGAAUAAAAUAGUAUUUAAAAUACAUCCCGACAUAUACAAUACAACUUCUUGGACUAACAACAAUUCAAAAACCCGGAAACCCAUAAAUUACAAGCUAAGAAAAUAGUGAGAUGUUCUAACUCCGAAAUGUCUACAUCAACAAUAAAGAUAGAAAGGCUAUCACUAUAAGAGAGAAUAGAGAGAGACUCCUGGGUCUGCGGACGUGGAAGAUAUACCUCAAAGACUCAGAAGGAUCGAGUCGCCUCAAUUGUGGUAAGUCUGAGUCAAGUUACCUAGAUCUGCACAGAAAGGGCAUGAGUAAAUCACAGCGACACGCAGUAAGUGCCAAGCCUAACCUAGGUCAGGUAGUAACGAGGAAGGUCAGGGCCCUACUGAGGUUAAAUAAGAUAAGGUAUAACAGGGAAGAAUAAGACAGUAUAACUAAGUGCAACAGUAAGAAGUAAUUAAAAUAGAAGAACAACAACAACUAGAACAGAGACAAGAUAAUAACGGAAAGGAAAUACAGCUCAAUGUCGAGAUAACAACUAGGGAUCUUUAAUGAUACCGUCAUGUAGUCCCAAUCACAACUAUCCAGUGGAUCUCCCUGGAUACCGUGCCGCAG